AGGAUUAUAGUUAACAAUAACAUUCAGUUUGCAAAUGAAAAGUAUCUAAGGAUUAAUCUUU
rnacentral:tRNA from 1 species